rnacentral:rRNA from 1 species
AGCAGCCGCGGUAAUUCCAGCUCCAAUAGCGUAUAUUAAAGUUGUUGCAGUUAAAAAGCUCGUAGUUGAAUUUCGGGAUCAGUUUGUUGGUCGUGCUUCGGUACGUACUGUCAUUACUGGUUUCUACCUUCUGAAGAACCUUGAUGUCAUUAAUUUGGUGUCUUGGGGAAUCAGGACUGUUACUUUGAAAAAAUUAGAGUGUUUAAAGCAAGCAUACGCUUGAAUACAUUAGCAUGGAAUAAUGAAAUAGGACGUUUGAUUCUAUUUUGUUGGUUUCUAGGAUCGACGUAAUGAUUAAUAGGGAUAGUUGGGGGCAUUAGUAUUCAAUUGUCAGAGGUGAAAUUCUUGGAUUUAUUGAAGACUAACUACUGCGAAAGCAUUUGCCAAGGAUGUUUUCAUUAAUCAAGAACGAAAGUUAGGGGAUCGAAGACGAUCAGAUACCGUCGUAGUCUUAACCAUAAACUAUGCCGACUAGGGAUCGGAUGAUGUUAUUUUUAAUGACUCAUUUCGGCGCCCUUAC